rnacentral:rRNA from 1 species
UACGUAGGUGGCAAGCGUUGUCCGGAAUUAUUGGGCGUAAAGCGCGCGCAGGCGGUCUUUUAAGUCUGUUGUGAAAUCGCUCGGCUCAACUGGGCGGGGUCAGCGGAUACGGUCUCACUUGAGCAAGCUAGGGGGCAAUGGAAUUCCCGGUGUAGUGGUGGAAUGCGUAGAUAUCGGGAGGAACACCAGUGGCGAAGGCGGUUGCCUGGGGCUUUGCUGACGCUGAUGCGCGAAAGCGUGGGGAGCGAUCCGG